UUACAGCCAUAUCACAGUGAAAUACCAGUUCUCAUACAAUCACUGAAAUUAAGCAACAUCUAGUCUGGUCAGUACCUAGAUAGGUGACCGCUUGGGAAUACCAGGUGCUGUAAGC
rnacentral:rRNA from 1 species